GUGAGUACGGCGAAGUUGGAGAGUCGCAAUGGUCUGUAAAACCAUCGCCUUAUGGUUUAGCAGGUUCGAUCCCUGCUACUCACACCA
rnacentral:tRNA from 1 species